ACUCCUACGGGAGGCAGCAGUGGGGAAUAUUGGACUAUGGGCGCAAGCCUGAUCCAGCCAUGCCGCGUGAGUGAUGAAGGCCCUAGGGUUGUAAAGCUCUUUCACCGGUGAAGAUAAUGACGGUAACCGGAGAAGAAGCCCCGGCUAACUUCGUGCCAGCAGCCGCGGUAAUACGAAGGGGGCUAGCGUUGUUCGGAUUUACUGGGCGUAAAGCGCACGUAGGCGGACUAUUAAGUCAGGGGUGAAAUCCCGGGGCUCAACCCCGGAACUGCCUUUGAUACUGGUAGUCUUGAGUUCGAGAGAGGUGAGUGGAAUUCCGAGUGUAGAGGUGAAAUUCGUAGAUAUUCGGAGGAACACCAGUGGCGAAGGCGGCUCACUGGCUCGAUACUGACGCUGAGGUGCGAAAGCGUGGGGAGCAAACAGGAUUAGAUACCCUGUAGUCCCA
rnacentral:rRNA from 1 species